CAUAGAUCUAUGUCUAUAUAUAUCUAGGACUUGGUAAAGUUGCAUCACUUUUUGUCAGAGUCCAAAGCCUUUCUGUUUCAUUUGUAGAAACUGAUCGAGUUGAGAAUAGUAUUUCACUGAAAUGUAGUUGGACUAUUCA
rnacentral:sRNA from 1 species